GGUGCGGGGCGCCGCCGUCUCGACCCCUUCGGCUGCGAACAGCUGAUCCAGAGAGGCCGGCGCUGAGGGAGAGCCCGGCCGAUUCCCCGCCGCCGCAGGGCGUCCGGGGUCUAGAGCUAUUUAAUACUUCAGACUGUGUUCUGAUACUUCUGGAAAAAAAGUAUGUAGGAUCGCCCUUUAUUUUACUUCUUAAGUUGCAAUCUUAAAAUUGACUGAAUAUGUAAGUUUCUGUUAUCAUUUUUGAUGGAAAGGAGUAAUUUUUGGGGAGAGACAAACCUAUGAAAAUUUAUCAGAACAGUUAAAUUUUUCUCUUUUUCAUAAGUUAAAACAGCUAAAACACAUGGUAAAUUUAGUUAAUAAAAAAUAAUUAUAAUGGGCAUGACAAUCCAAAGAGAGUAGUUACAAAAAAAAAAAAAAAAAGAAAA